rnacentral:rRNA from 1 species
AAAGGGGCUUCGGCCCUGAGUAGAGUGGCAAACGGGUGAGUAACACGUGGGUGACCUGCCUUCGAGCGGGGGAUAACGUUCCGAAAGGAGCGCUAAUACCGCAUAACAUCCUGCCUUUGGAAAGGUGGAGAUCAAAGCCGGGGAUCGCAAGACCUGGCACUUGAAGAGGGGCCCGCGCCUGAUUAGCUAGUUGGUGGGGUAAUGGCUCACCAAGGCUACGAUCAGUAUCCGGCCUGAGAGGGCGGACGGACACACUGGGACUGAGACACGGCCCAGACUCCUACGGGAGGCAGCAGUGGGGAAUUGUUCGCAAUGGGCGCAAGCCUGACGACGCAACGCCGCGUGGAGGACGAAGAUCUUCGGGUCGUAAACUCCUGUCGAGCGGGACGAAUGUUCCGCGGGCUAAUAUCCCGCGGAAGUGACGGUACCGCUAAAGGAAGCCCCGGCUAACUCCGUGCCAGCAGCCGCGGUAAUACGGGGGGGGCAAGCGUUGUUCGGAAUUACUGGGCGUAAAGGGCUCGUAGGCGGCCAACUAAGUCGGAUGUGAAAUCCCCAGGCUCAACCUGGGAACUGCAUCCGAUACUGGAUGGCUUGAAUUCGGGAGAGGGAUGCAGAAUUCCAGGUGUAGCGGUGAAAUGCGUAGAUAUCUGGAGGAAUACCGGUGGCGAAGGCGGCAUCCUGGACCGACAUUGACGCUGAGGAGCGAAAGCCAGGGGAGCAAACGGGAUUAGAUACCCCGGUAGUCCUGGCCCUAAACGAUGAAUGCUUGGUGUGACGGGUAUCGAUCCCUGU